UAAUAAUUUACAUACAGAUGAAUUGUCAAAAAAGAGUGGGAAAACUUUUUAUACACGUCGGUAAGGGAUGUGUUUGGUGAAAUAAAAUCAGCUUUCAUUUGAUUAUGUUGUAUGUUAAGUGAUUUAAUCUUUUUUCUUUCUAUUGACACAUAAAAAUUCAGCCCAAAUCGAACGGCCCAAGGAAUGAAGUCCAAUUGGAGGAUCCCCAAAUCAGAUAGCCCAAAGAAUGAAGCCCAAUCAGACAAUUCAGAAUGAAGGCCCAAAUAGGGAGUCCCGCGAACUCGGUAACACCAUCGCCCAAGCUUGCAAGUCGCCCAGGAUCUGAGCGAAUGGAAUGCCAUGCAGUCGCCUAGAGCUGCUACUCUAUUCUCGCCCAAACCUUCGAGUCGCCCAAGGUCUUAGCAAACAUGAAGUGUUAUGGUUAUCAAGAAGCGCAGUUAUCAAAGCAGUUAUUAAGCAGCCCUAUCACAUUCCACGAUUCAAGGAAUUCAAUCGAAAACGGUUGAAUGAAAAAGAGUAAUGGCAGCAGUUAAAAAAGGCAGUUCCAUGACAAGUUGGCCAUUACGAGGAAAGUGGGCAGUUAUAGAACGAUCAAGCAGUUUUUAGACUGUUGAUCACAAGGAGAUCAUCCAAG
rnacentral:lncRNA from 1 species